CAGCAGCCGCGGUAAUACGAAGGGGGCUAGCGUUGCUCGGAAUUACUGGGCGUAAAGGGAGCGUAGGCGGACAUUUAAGUCAGAGGUGAAAUCCCGGGGCUCAACCUCGGAACUGCCUUUGAUACUGGAUGUCUUGAGUGUGAGAGAGGUAUGUGGAACUCCGAGUGUAGAGGUGAAAUUCGUAGAUAUUCGGAAGAACACCAGUGGCGAAGGCGACAUACUGGCUCAUUACUGACGCUGAGGCUCGAAAGCGUGGGGAGCAAACAGGAUUAGAUACCCUGGUAGUCCACGCCGUAAACGAUGAUUGCUAGUUGUCGGGAUGCAUGCAUUUCGGUGACGCAGCUAACGCAUUAAGCAAUCCGCCUGGGGAGUACGGUCGCAAGAUUAAAACUCAAAGGAAUUGACGG
rnacentral:rRNA from 1 species